GACGAACGCUGGCGGCGUGCUUAACACAUGCAAGUCGAACGGAAAGGCCCUGCUUGCAGGGUACUCGAGUGGCGAACGGGUGAGUAACACGUGGGUGAUCUGCCCUGCACUUCGGGAUAAGCCUGGGAAACUGGGUCUAAUACCGGAUAGGAGCCAUUUUUAGUGUGAUGGUUGGAAAGUUUUUUCGGUGUAGGAUGAGCUCGCGGCCUAUCAGCUUGUUGGUGGGGUAAUGGCCUACCAAGGCGGCGACGGGUAGCCGGCCUGAGAGGGUGUACGGCCACAUUGGGACUGAGAUACGGCCCAGACUCCUACGGGAGGCAGCAGUGGGGAAUAUUGCACAAUGGGCGCAAGCCUGAUGCAGCGACGCCGCGUGGGGGAUGACGGCCUUCGGGUUGUAAACUCCUUUCGCUAGGGACGAAGCUUUUUGUGACGGUACCUAGAUAAGAAGCACCGGCUAACUACGUG
rnacentral:rRNA from 1 species